CAAAAACAUGUCCUUUUGAAUUUAAUAGAAGGUCUGACCUGCCCAGUGAUGAAUUUAACGGCCGCGGUAUACUGACCGUGCAAAGGUAGCAUAAUCAUUAGUCUUUUAAUAGAGGGCUGGAAUGAAUGGUUUCACGAGGAACUGACUGUCUCAUUUUAUUUGUUUUAAAAUUUAAUUUUUUAGUUAAAAAGCUAAAAUAUUAUUGGAAGACGAGAAGACCCUAUAGAUCUUUAUAUAAGUUAUUAUAAUUAUUUUUAUAUUAAUAUAUUUAUAUUGAUUUAUAUUUUGUUGGGGUGACAAAAAUAUAUAAUUAACUUUUUUAUUUAUUUAACAUUGAUGUAUGAGUAUUAGAUCCAUUAUUAGUGAUUUUUAGAUUAAGUUACCUUAGGGAUAACAGCGUAAUCCUCCUCCAGAGUUCAUAUUUACAGGAAGGGCUUGCGACCUCGAUGUUGGAUUAAGAUAAUAAUUAGGUGUAGCCGCNNAAGNUAG
rnacentral:rRNA from 1 species